GGUUCUAUGGUGUAAUGGUUAGCACAUGAGGUUCUGAUCAGUUGACAGAUGAUUCCGACAAAGUAUCAUCUGGACUGCUAAGACCUCCUCAUGAUCCCGGUUCGAUUCCGGGUAGGACCU